UGCAUGAAUGACAUUGAGGUGCCAGAGCUUGUCCAGAGAAUGGCAACAGAGCUAGGGAAGGGUCUGGAGCACAACACCAGGUUUCAUGAGCAGCAGCU